AGCAGCCGCGGUAAUUCCAGCUCCAAUAGCGUAUAUUAAAGUUGUUGCAGUUAAAAAGCUCGUAGUUGAAUUUCGGGAUCAAUAUUUCGGUCAUGCCGUUGGUAUGCACUGUUAUCAUUGAUUUCUCACCUUCUAAAGAACCGUAAUGCCAUUAAUUUGGUGUUACGGGGAAUUAGGACUGUUACCUUGAAAAAUUAGAGUGUUUAAAGCAGGCUCACGCUUGAAUACAUUAGCAUGGAAUAAUGAAAUAGGACAUCCGAUUCUAUUUUGUUGGUUUCUAGGAUCGAUGUAAUGAUUAAUAGGGAUAGUUGGGGGCAUUAGUAUUCAAUUGUCAGAGGUGAAAUUCUUGGAUUUAUUGAAGACUAACUACUGCGAAAGCAUUUGCCAAGGAUGUUUUCAUUAAUCAAGAACGAAAGUUAGGGGAUCGAAGACGAUCAGAUACCGUCGUAGUCUUAACCAUAAACUAUGCCGACUGGGGAUCGGAUGAUGUUAAUUUUUAAUGA
rnacentral:rRNA from 1 species